UACCAGCACCCCGAGUGGUCGGGACGAUUAUUGGGCCUAAAGCAUCCGUAGCCGGCCUUACAAGUCCUCCGUUAAAUCCAGCUGCUUAACAGAUGGGCUGCGGAGGAUACUAUAAGACUAGGAGGCAGGAGAGGCAAGCGGUACUCAGUGGGUAGGGGAAAAAUCCGUUGAUCCAUUGAAGACCACCAGUGGCGAAGGCGGCUUGCCAGAAUGCGCUCGACGGUGAGGGAUGAAAGCUGGGGGAGCAAACCGG
rnacentral:rRNA from 1 species